rnacentral:rRNA from 1 species
AGUGAACGCUGGCGGCAGGCCUAACACAUGCAAGUCGAACGGCAGCACAGUAAGAGCUUGCUCUUACGGGUGGCGAGUGGCGGACGGGUGAGGAAUACAUCCGAAUCUACUUUUUCGUGGGGGGUAACGUAGGGAAACUUACGCUAAUACCGCAUACGACCUACGGGUGAAAGCAGGGGAUCUUCGGACCUUGCGCGAUUGAAUGAGCCGAUGUCGGAUUAGCUAGUUGGUGGGGUAAAGGCCCACCAAGGCGACGAUCCGUAGCUGGUCUGAGAGGAUGAUCAGCCACACUGGAACUGAGACACGGUCCAGACUCCUACGGGAGGCAGCAGUGGGGAAUUUUGGACAAUGGGCGCAAGCCUGAUCCAGCCAUACCGCGUGGGUGAAGAAGGCCUUCGGGUUGUAAAGCCCUUUUGUUGGGAAAGAAAAGCAUCAGGUUAAUACCCCGCUGUUAUGACGGUACCGAAAGAAUAAGCACCGGCUAACUUCGUG